rnacentral:lncRNA from 1 species
GUGAACUCAAGACCAACGAAUCAAAGUGCUAAAAUAUCAAUUAAGUUACGAAUUCUUAAGUGGUAAGAAUAUUCUUUUAAUUUCUUUAUUUUAAUUUUGAUCACUUAAAAGUUACAAAUUCUAAUUUUAGGUAUUUAAGAUUGAAAAAAUUUAUUUAAGUUUUUUAAGAGUAACUAACAAUAUCGUAUAAGUAUAUUCUUAAUUUCUUUUUGUAGGAAUGAAAUUAAAAAGAAAGAUGAACAAGAUAAAAUAGUUGAGAAAAUUGAGAAGUCAAUGAAAUUAAUGGUGGUUAUAGAGACAAAAUAAUGCAAUCCUAUUAUCAUCUUCGAGAAAAAUGCAAUAGUGCCACCAACAAAAAAAGAGUGUUCCUUAAAAUUUUC